UUUGCUUCUUGACCUUUUGGCAAAGAUCAAGUGUAGCAUAUGUUUUUAUCAGUUUAAUAUCUGUUAUGUCCUCAAUUUGAGGAUUUUAUAUUAAAUGGGUUUGGGGACUGGGAAAUGUACUAGGACCCUAC
rfam:Pygoscelis adeliae contig88829, whole genome shotgun sequence.